rnacentral:rRNA from 1 species
UACGGAGGGUGCGAGCGUUGUCCGGAAUCACUGGGCGUAAAGGGCGCGUAGGCGGCGGAGUAAGCGUGCGGUGAAAGCUCGGGGCUCAACCCCGAGUCGGCCGUGCGAACUGCUCUCGCUCGAGCAUUGUAGAGGUCGAUGGAAUUCCGGGUGUAGCGGUGGAAUGCGUAGAGAUCCGGAAGAACACCGGUGGCGAAGGCGGUCGACUGGGCAAUGGCUGACGCUGAGGCGCGACAGCGUGGGGAGCGAACAGG